UCCUUCCAUAUUGAUUGUGCUUUGGCAACUAGAUGCAGUGCUAGGCUUCACUCUGCAAGGUGUUUAAAAAGAAAAACAGGUUUACCCAGGAUUUAUCAUGUAUGGAAAAAUGUAAUAUCUAAGUAGGCUGUCUGCUAAUGUCUGGCAUAAUGUUUCUUCAUAAUGGUUAACCCUUUUGCAGGGAGUGGAAUAAGAGUGCCUCUCUCUCUAGAUGGGAACUUUGCUUCAUGGGACAUUACAACUGAAUGCCUUAAGGCAGAAAAACGCAUAAAGGUAGCUGGGAAAGUAAAUUGCCAGAAGCGAAGAGCACCCUCCCUUUCAAAAUCCUUGAGGAGUAAAGUCAAUGCGAGGUUAGCAGAUCACUGCAGACCUCCACCAUGCUGAAACAGUACAGAACAAAAGUUUCACGUCCUGUGCAUUUAGGGUCUUUCUAGCUAUACCGUCAGCAGCCUCCUCUGUUCUUUCGGGAGCUCAGCACAUCAGCAUCGCAGAUUCCUCGCACACAAUCAAUACAUUUUGCAUAAUACGAGUCUCUCUCGCAACCCUCUCUCUUUUCUUGCUCUCUUGUUCGCCUCGUAGGCGGACGGGCUUUCUACACAGGGCUUUGCUUUUAAGGCAUGAGCAUCGGAGAUGUCCAGUCUCCAAAAGCAAGCCGUGCACCAGGGGUAGCUGGUGCCUGCUUCCUCAGGUCAGAAAUUGUGCUGGAGCCCCCACCACAGCAACCCUUCAAGCAUACGGUUUGGUUUCAGACAGGCACAGCUUGCCUCUCCCCAGUCUCCCCUCCACCCCCCGCUUUCCAUUCCUCUUACAGCAGCGCUUUAAUAAAGUCACAUAAGUGAUUGAAAUUAACAUAAAUCAUUAUUAGUUAUUAGGAUUUGCUCUAAAUUACUCUGUGAAUAUAACACCAAACCCCAUCUGCCACUCCUGCUCUAGCAGCAAUAGAUUGCAGAUAAAAUAAAUGUCCUUACCCCAUUAGAAUGUUCCUGUCUCUGUAGCCAAAAGCCAAACAAAAGCAAUAAAUACAGAGCUUUUUUCUCUCCACUAUUCAGCUGUGACUGUUUUCAUCAGCUCUUCCUCUAGAAAAGCUCGAUAGCUGCCUGAAAAUAUUGCAUUUUAUAUCACCAAAGGGCGAUUAAUAUUGCAUUAACUGUAUUUAACAUUUUUUAAGCGCGAGUAAUCUGAAAUGAAUAAGUUUCUGUUACUAAAUACAGGGGAUGUCAGAACUGGUGAAAACAGCUUAAAAUAUCUGUAUAAACAGAUUAUUUGUUUCAUACUUUGUAUUUUUAUAAUGUUAUGGUAUAGUGUGCUCUGUUUGAAGUAGAAGAAGCCAUGCUAAUGGUCUGUUUAAAGUAUUCUGACACUGUCUGGAGACAUCCAAGUCUCUGCCUUCAUUAAAUGUUUAUUGUCAACA